AACCUUUGUCAACUCUGUAUGCGUUUUCUGACUGCCUGUGUAGUCAUCUGACAACUUGAGAAGCAGGAACAAAGCACUGGCAAGGCUGACAAAUCCUGCAGAUGCAGCAAGGAAGCAAAGAAAGCACAAAAGAAGUCUAUAAUGAUCGAAAGCCAAAGGGAAAAGAAAAGGAUCGUGGCCAAAUAGUGUCAAAUACCUGCUCCUCCCAAUAAUUUUAGUAGAGGCUCUCUUGCAAGAUCUGUCAUCAAGCAUAGAAGAUAUUGCUACACCACAACUCCUGACGUAUUUUCUACCUGCUUUGAAAGGAUGACACUCCAACAAUGUGUCACUGUAUCUCAGCUGGGAGAUGUAAUUACCUGCAAAGGGACUGUACCUUCUUAAAUUGCCUUUGGCUGCUCCUGAAUAUUUAAAACUGCUGCUCUGUCUCAGUGCAAAGACAAAGAGCGAGAGUAAAAAGAAAGAAAGAAGGAAAGAAAGAAGGAAAGAAAGAAGGAAAGAAAGAAGGAAAGAAAGAAGGAAAGAAAGAAGGAAAGAAGGAAAGAAGGAAAGAAGGAAAGAAGGAAAGAAGGAAAGAAGGAAAGAAGGAAAGAAGGAAAGAAGGAAAGAAGGAAAGAAGGAAAGAAGGAAAGAAGGAAAGAAGGAAAGAAGGAAAGAAGGAAAGAAGGAAAGAAGGAAAGAAGGAAAGAAGGAAAGAAGGAAAGAAAAAAAGCACAAUGUUAAAGUCACCUGUUUAUUUUUGGUCCUUUUUAGUUGAAGUCAUUCAUGAGACACGGAGAUAUUAAACUGGAUGGACAAACCUGAAUGGCACAAAUACCAGAGGAACAGAUGGCAUGGAAGAUAAGUCCUCCCUGCCUGAACUGGGAAAGGAAAAAGAUACCCGUCUUGAGGAUCAACUCCAAGCAUGAAUUUGGAGUGACAUUCACCAUUCAAGCAAUGGUUCCAGUGCUCUUCCUCCUUUUAAGGAUGCACUGCUCUCCUUUACUUGUAUACUAAGGCCUGACUCCCUCUCUCUUACUUUGAUAUUACCGCUGGUGACAGAACACAAGCAGUGCUGAAACAGAGCUUGAUCUUCUAAGAUUUCUGCUCUCUGAGAUAAUCACAGACAAUUCUUGACUUUCAUCUGCGUGCUUAUCAUUUAGAAAUGAGCCAUCGGAUCAUGGUAAUCAAAAUAUAGCCUUAUGGAAUUCUGCGUUACUGAGCAAUAUUUGUGUUACCUUAUUGCAAUGGUACGUGUCGGACCAGAUACCUCCACGAGCUUCUCUCUUCUUCAUUAACUGGCAAGAUCUGCUGAUCUCGUGCAACAGGACUCUCCUGCCACCACACCACCCAGUUCCAGAAGAGGGAUAGGCUGGUCACUAAACAUCCCAUCUUUUGCUACCUUCAGAUGCCCCUUGAGCUCAAGGCAUUGCUGUGGAGGCUCCUUCUAAUAGCAACCACUUAGAAAAUGGAAAUCCGACAAGGAAACUUACCUGUUUUCUCAUAUCCUCUGGCCACAAACAGAAGGAAAAAUAAUCUUAAAGUACUAUCUUCUGAGCACAAUUCAAAUUAAAAAAAAAAAUAACUAAGAAAAAAAGAGAUCUCUGCACGUGUCACUGGAAAUAUGAUGUUAUUAGAGAAGCUGACAACCUAUCCACACCAGUGCUCUCCAAUACUGUCCGAGAAGAACAGAGAGGAACAGAAAUAGCAGAGGUCCACAGAAGGGUAAUAAAAAUAACAAAGACAUUUAGCGGCCUUCCACAUGACUGCACUUGUUUCAUUUGGGAAAUCUGAAUUUAAACAGUGAGAUAGUAAAAUUGAUCCUUCCUAGCCUUCAUAUAAAAGCAACAGUGCAACUGAUGAAUUGAGAAGUAAAGCCACUUGCAGCUGAUAACACUUCUUCACGGAGUACACAAUUCACUCCUGAUAUUCUAUGACACCAGUUGAGAAGAAUGAAACAGAGAAAUUUUAAAUACCAGCAUAUUUCCUCACUGUGCUAUUCCAAAUGAAAACUAUUACAAAUGAUAACCAGAAAUCAAGCAACAACAAGGCAUCCGGGCUAAGAAAAGUGUCAUCCAAAGACAGAAAAGUGGCAAAAUUACAAAAAGGAAGAAACAGUAAGGAGUACAAUACCACCACAGUCAGUGAAGCUCUCCACUCCAACUGAUGCACUGUUUGCUAAAACACAAAGACAUCCACCUCAGUGAAGAGGGGGCAAGCCCUCUGGAAAGGCUUUCUGAUAGCAGAUACUCUGGUGUUCAAAGCUGAACCUCUUACCUUCUGGCACAACCGGCUCUUGACAGCAGAUUUCCUAACAGAUGCCAAGCUAUUCCUAUCAGUUUAACCCCAACAGGACAUUCCUGUUACCCAUAUUAAUCUUAGUAGAUGAGAUGCUGAAGGUUCAGUAGAAAAUACCAAUUAAACAUUGGUGAUGGGUGGAUGGUUGGACCGGGUGAUCCUGUGGAUCUUUUCCGACCUUGGUGAUUCUAUGAUUCCAUGAUUCUGUGAUCUUUUCUUUGAAGGACUAAUCUGCUGAAACUAAAGCUUCCUGCAAGAAUUGGGCUAUUUAUAGGUAUAUAAGUCUUGCUCAAAUAAAUAAAUAAAUAAA
ensembl:lncRNA